rnacentral:rRNA from 1 species
ACGGUUACCUUGUUACGACUUCACCCCAGUUACCGGCUCCACCUUCGGCAGCUCCUUCCUUUCGGUUAGGUCACUGACUUCGGGCAUUUCCGACUCCCAUGGUGUGACGGGCGGUGUGUACAAGACCCGGGAACGUAUUCACCGCGACAUUCUGAUUCGCGAUUACUAGCGAUUCCAGCUUCAUGUAGUCGAGUUGCAGACUACAAUCCGAACUGGGACGUUAUUUUUGGGAUUUGCUCAACGUCACCGUCUCGCUUCCCUUUGUUUACGCCAUUGUAGCACGUGUGUAGCCCUGAUCAUAAGGGGCAUGAUGAUUUGACGUCAUCCCCGCCUUCCUCCCGGUUAUCCCGGGCAGUCUCUCCAGAGUGCCCAGCUCUACCUGCUGGCUACUGGAAAUAGGGGUUGCGCUCGUUGCGGGACUUAACCCAACAUCUCACGACACGAGCUGACGACAACCAUGCACCACCUGUCUCCAAUGCCCCGAAGGGAAAGUGACUUUGCUCACUCGUCAUCGGGAUGUCAAGACCAGGUAAGGUUCUUCGCGUUGCUUCCAAUUAAACCACAUGCUCCACCGCUUGUG